rnacentral:rRNA from 1 species
UAGCCUGCUGCAAUAAAAUGUUAUACUGGAAACUGCAUGGUCUUAAUCAUUUAUUUAUUGUGGACCUUUACUCGGAUAACCUAUAAUUCUAGAGCUAAUACUGCGUAAAUCCCGACUUCUGGAAGGGACGUAUUUAUUAAUAAAAGGCCAGCCGGGCUUGCCCGACUCUUGGCGAAUCAUGAUAACUUCACGAAUCGCACAGCUUUAUGCUGGCGAUGUUCAUUCAAAUUUCUGCCCUAUCAACUUUCGUGGAGGUAGAGGCCUACCAUGGUGGUAACGGGUGACGGAGGUUAGGGUCGUUCCGGAGAGGGAGCCUGAAAACGGUACCACAUCCAAGGAAGGAGCAGGCGCGCAAAUUACCCAAUCCCAACACGGGGAGGAUGACAAUAAAUAACAAUACCGGGCAUUUUUGCUGGAAUGGAUGAUACAAUCUAAAUCCCUUAACGAUAUCCAUUGGAGGGAAGCUGUGCAGACCGCGGAAUCCACUCCAUACGAUAUUAAUUGUGAUUAAAACUCUAUUGGAUUCGGUGGGUGACGUCACCUUGUUAUAUGUUGGCACUUUCUGCGGGGACACUCCUGGGUUAACUGCCGGGAUCGAUCGCGAGGUACUUUGAUAAUUAAUGUCAAAGCAAGCCUACGCUCUGAAUACUUACAUGGAAUAACACGAUAGGACUCUGGCUUAUCUUGUGGUCUGUAAGACCGGAUAAUGAUUAAAGGGACAGUCGGGGGCAUUCUAUUUCAUUGUCAGAGUGAAAUUCUUGGAUUUAUGAAAGACGAACUUCUGCGAAAGCAUUUGCCAAGGAUGUUUCUUAAUCAAGAACGAAAGUGGGGGCUCGAAGACGAUUAGAUACCGUCGUAGUCUCAACCAUAAACGAUGCCACUAGGGAUUGGCAGGUGUUUCGUUGAUGACCCUGCCAGCACCUUAUGAGAAAUCAAAGUUUUUGGGUUCCGGGGGGAGUAUGGUCGCAAGGCUGAAACUUAAAGGAAUUGACGGAAGGGCACCACCAGGCGUGGAGCCUGCGGCUUAAUUUGACUCAAUACGGGAAAACUUACCAGGUCCAGACACGGGGAGGAUUGACAGAUUGAGAGCUCUUUCUUGAUUCUGUGGGUGGUGGUGCAUGGCCGUUCUUAGUUGGUGGGUUGCCUUGUCAGGUUGAUUCCGGUAACGAACGAGACCUCAGCCUGCUAAAUAGUCACGUCUACCUCGGUAGGCGCUUGACUUCUUAGAGGGACUAUUGGCGUUUAGCCAAUGGAAGUGUGAGGCAAUAACAGGUCUGUGAUGCCCUUAGAUGUUCUGGGCCGCACGCGCGCUACACUGAUGCAUUCAACGAGCCUAUCCUUGGCCGAGAGGUCUGGGUAAUCUUUGAAACUGCAUCGUGAUGGGGAUAGAUUAUUGCAAUUAUUAGUCUUCAACGAGGAAUGCCUAGUAAGCGCGAGUCAUCAGCUCGCGUUGAUUACGUCCCUGCCCUUUGUACACACCGCCCGUCGCUCCUACCGAUUGGGUGUGCUGGUGAAGUGUUUGGACUGAUAUCAAUGGGG